rnacentral:rRNA from 1 species
AGUGAACGCUGGCGGUAGGCCUAACACAUGCAAGUCGAACGGCAGCACAGUAAGAGCUUGCUCUUACGGGUGGCGAGUGGCGGACGGGUGAGGAAUACAUCGUAAUCUACUUUUUCGUGGGGUAUAACGUAGGGAAACUUACGCUAAUACCGCAUACGACCUACGGGUGAAAGCAGGGGAUCUUCGGACCUUGCGCGAUUGAAUGAGCCGAUGUCGGAUUAGCUAGUUGGCGGGGUAAAGGCCCACCAAGGCGACGAUCCGUAGCUGGUCUGAGAGGAUGAUCAGCCACACUGGAACUGAGACACGGUCCAGACUCCUACGGGAGGCAGCAGUGGGGAAUAUUGGACAAUGGGCGCAAGCCUGAUCCAGCCAUACCGCGUGGGUGAAGAAGGCCUUCGGGUUGUAAAGCCCUUUUGUUGGGAAAGAAAAGCAGCAGGUUAAUACCCCGCUGUUCUGACGGUACCCAAAGAAUAAGCACCGGCUAACUUCGUG